rnacentral:rRNA from 1 species
UACGGAGGGAGCUAGCGUUGUUCGGAAUUACUGGGCGUAAAGCGCACGUAGGCGGCUUUGUAAGUUAGAGGUGAAAGCCCGGGGCUCAACUCCGGAACUGCCUUUAAGACUGCAUCGCUUGAAUCCGGGAGAGGUGAGUGGAACUGCGAGUGUAGAGGUGAAAUUCGUAGAUAUUCGCAAGAACACCAGUGGCGAAGGCGGCUCACUGGCCCGGUACUGACGCUGAGGUGCGAAAAGCGUGGGGAGCAACAGG